GUUACAAGAAACAUGUUUGUUAACUUUUGAGAAAAAAGACUCUUAUUAAGAAUAUUUUGGUAUUUGUUUGGAUUUAAUUUAUUGUAUUCGCACCAUUUAAAGGCACCAAGAAAUUUAGUAGCCAUGGCGCAGUGGUUUAGCAGUUGUGGCGUAGUGGUUUGAGCAUUUGACUCUUUAUCCAAGGUUUGCGGGUUCGAUCUCAGCUCAAAGCAUAUAAACGUUAUCGGUGAAGUUGGAAAUAGAAAGUUAUCUUAAUAAAUGCUAUUCUUCAUGUGGCGGUUCUCUGUGACAAGACCAUUAGGACUUCUUAGAGCACCU